rnacentral:rRNA from 1 species
UACAGAGGUCCCAAGCGUUGUUCGGAUUCACUGGGCGUAAAGGGUGCGUAGGUGGCGGGGUAAGUCAGGUGUGAAAUUUCGGAGCUUAACUCCGAAACUGCAUUUGAUACUGCCUUGCUUGAGGACUGGAGAGGAGACUGGAAUUCACGGUGUAGCAGUGAAAUGCGUAGAGAUCGUGAGGAAGACCAGUGGCGAAGGCGGGUCUCUGGACAGUUCCUGACACUGAGGCACGAAGGCCAGGGGAGCAAACGGGG